rnacentral:rRNA from 1 species
UACAGAGGUCUCGAGCGUUCGGCGGAAUCACUGGGCUUAAAGCGUGUGUAGGCGGAUCGUUAAGUGCCUUGUGAAAUCCCACGGCUCAACCGCGGAACUGCUUGGCAUACUGGCGGUCUUGAGCAACCUAGGGGCGAGCGGAACAAAUGGUGGAGCGGUGAAAUGCGUAGAUAUCAUUUGGAACGCCAAUGGUGAAAACAGCUCGCUGGGGGUUUGCUGACGCUGAGACACGAAAGCCAGGGGAGCAAACGGG